rnacentral:rRNA from 2 species
GGUUGCAAAAGAAGUAGGUAGCUUAACCUUCGGGAGGGCGCUUACCACUUUGUGAUUCAUGACUGGGGUGAAGUCGUAACAAGGUAACCGUAGGGGAACCUGCGGUUGGAUCACCUCCUUA